UAUAUCAUUAGAUAUGCCAUGAUAG
rnacentral:piRNA from 1 species